UACAGAGGUCUCAAGCGUUGUUCGGAUUCAUUGGGCGUAAAGGGUGCGUAGGUGGCGCGGAAAGUCGGGUGUGAAAUUUCGGAGCUUAACUCCGAAACUGCAUUCGAUACUUCCGUGCUUGAGGACUGGAGAGGAGACUGGAAUUUACGGUGUAGCAGUGAAAUGCGUAGAGAUCGUAAGGAAGACCAGUGGCGAAGGCGGGUCUCUGGACAGUUCCUGACACUGAGGCACGAAGGCCAGGGGAGCAAACGGG
rnacentral:rRNA from 1 species